GAGUCCCGCCAACGGAGCGCAACCCUUAUCCUUUGUUGCCAGCACGUAAUGGUGGGAACUCAAAGGAGACUGCCGGUGAUAAACCGGAGGAAGGUGGGGAUGACGUCAAGUCAUCAUGGCCCUUACGAGUAGGGCUACACACGUGCUACAAUGGCAGAUACAAAGAGAAGCGACCUCGCGAGAGCAAGCGGAACUCAUAAAGUCUGUCGUAGUCCGGAUUGGAGUCUGCAACUCGACUCCAUGAAGUCGGAAUCGCUAGUAAUCGUAGAUCAAAAUGCUACGGUGAAUACGUUCCCGGGCCUUGUACACACCGCCCGUA
rnacentral:rRNA from 1 species